rnacentral:rRNA from 1 species
UGGGGAAUCUUGGACAAUGGGCGCAAGCCUGAUCCAGCCAUGCCGCGUGGAUGAUGAAGGCCUUAGGGUUGUAAAAUCCUUUCGUUGGGGACGAUAAUGACGGUACCCAAAGAAGAAGCUCCGGCUAACUUCGUGCCAGCAGCCGCGGUAAUACGAAGGAGGCUAGCGUUGUUCGGAUUUACUGGGCGUAAAGCGCGUGUAGGCGGACUUGUAAGUUGGGGGUGAAAUCCCGAGGCUCAACCUCGGAACUGCCUCCAAAACUACAAGUCUGGACCUAAGUAGAGGCAAGUGGAAUUGCGAGUGUAGAGGUGAAAUUCGUAGAUAUUCGCAGGAACACCAGUGGCGAAGGCGACUUGCUGGACUUAUGGUGACGCUGAGACGCGAAAGCGUGGGGAGCAAACAGGAUUAGAUACCCCCGUAGUCCCUGAGCGGGCUGGCAAGGCGCAU